GCGCCUGUAGCUCAGUUAGGAUAGAGCAGCAGCCUCCUAAGCUGAAGGUCGGGGGUUCGAAUCCUCUCAGGCGCG
rnacentral:tRNA from 1 species